CAACCGCUCCCUGGCAACUGGCGCGGGGGGCGGGUCCUGGAGCUCCGCGCCAGAAGAGGCUGGAACCAGUGAAAAGUUCCUCCUCCGUCAGCUCAGCGGGCUUUCCAGCACCAAGGCGGGAACUGCAACUUCGCAUCAUCUUAGAAGCCUCUGCACCAUGAGAGCCAAGAUGAGGAAAAAGUGAAUGUGCAGACGUUAAAUUCUUCAGCACAAAAGAAGAAAGACAAAGCAGAUACUAAAGCUAACUUGUGCACCCAUGGAGGCCAAAGGAGCAAAAAUAGGGAAUGCCAGAGUACUGGGAAACUGGUUUAAAUUGUUGGACAGCAUGCUACUGUCCAGAUUGGUCUCUCAAUGAUCUAGAAUUUCCAUCACCAUCAGAUCACCAAGACCACCUCUAAGAGAGACCCCCACCUUGCUCAUGACCAAAACAGUCCCUAUUGAUCCUUUGCCCUGAACCUGUGGCAUUUUGAACUAGUUUGUUAUUGGUUGUGUCCAAGUGUAACAUGUGCAUAGUAAAUCAUCUCUUCUACUAUUUUAGCUGAAGAAUCAAAAAAAAAAAAAAAAGAUGACAGUUACUACACAAAGUGAUCUAUAGCU